rnacentral:lncRNA from 10 species
GAAAGAAUGUGGAAACUAGAAAACCACAGCUAUAACCAACUGCUGCUGCUAAGAAUGGGACUGUUUCAAGGGAAGGCUCCUUACAGUGAAGAAAAGGGUCAAAUCCAAUUAAAAUUGCAAAGGAAACUUCGCGAGGACGAAUGCCAUUAGCCCAAACUGGAAUGUGGCCAAAACACGGGGUAAUACUUCAACUCUUAGAAAAAGUGCCAGGGGGAUAUUUAACAACUGCAGGUGGCCAAAUGCUUUCUCAUAAGUCUCAUCAGAAACGUCAUUUAUAGCAACAGUAUUCACCAAGUUACCAGAGGUGAAUUAAAUAGUUUGGAAAGAGGCCUAGAAAAUUUUUGUUUUUAAAAUGAAAGGUGAAAUCUGAAAAUGUCUGAGAGGCUACAAAAUAACAGGAGAAUGUCCUGGCAUAAGGGUUGGAAUUACAAGUCAGACAGGGCUGAGCAGCAAUCUUCAAGAAAAUUGCUCUAAAUUGGCCUUCAUUAGCUCUCACGGCACUGAAAAACAACUCCAAUGCAUGCCUAUGGAAGGCCGAGAACCCUCAGCGUCGAGGAGCCGGGUGUCGAGUGCAAUCAGCUCUGUCUCUAUGCGGAUGUCACAGAUCCAGUGCUCUGCUUGGGACAGAAGGACCCGGGUGUUGAAGGCAAGGUGUGACCGGCUAGCGGCUCUGAGCCACUGUGAUCACCGUUUCCCGUUCGAGACGCAGAGGGGAAGACGCACGCCAACGCGGGCUUGGGCCUCUUCCGGGCCUCCUCCCUUUGGAGAGGCCGGGGUUAGCUCAGCAAUUCCGCUCACUCGCUCCGUGCCCUGGAGAAAGAAAUGUUCUCUUUGCAAGCUGCUUCACCACCUGUAACAGUAGGAGAACGAUACCUUCUCUUUCCACAAAUAUUCAGAGAAGCCUACCAGAUACCAGGCACCAUUCUGGGUCCUGAAACACAGGAGAAGGUAGCAGACAGGCCUGGAUAGGGAUGCGAACUCUCAAGCUAGACACGAGUUUCAAAUUCAGGGUCCAUCACUUGGUUAGCUGUAGGACCACGGAGAAAUCCAGUUCCUGGUACCUCGGCCCCCUCAACUAUUAAAUGGGAGUGGUAAUAUUAUGACCCCCGUAGAAUGGACGAGACCAAUUAUCUAAUGGGCAUAGAUAGCUUGCCAUGGUGGGCUGGCCCUAUGGAAAGCUCAACAAUUAUCGUGGUGUUACCUGGCUUCAGACCGCGCAUGUGUCCCCCAGUCUUGCUGACAACCUUUCCUUAGGACCAAAGGGAGGAGAUGCAGACGAGAAGAACCGAAGGACUAGGCGGCAUGCCGAGGUGCUCUUGCGGAAGCCAAACUUGGGCUCUCCGAAACAGGCCGGGAAAGCUGAAAGCACAGUGACCUCCUUCGCUCUCCCAAGCCGCUGGGUCGCCGCUACGCGCCGAGGCGAUUAGUCAGUGAGGUCCGCACUCGGCGCAGACUGAAGUGCUCCAGAACUAACCACCUCCGCAGACGCAACGGAGCCAGGAGGGGCCUCAGGGGCCUCCAACCGCAUGGCUCUUCCCAGCUUUCCCGGACACCAGCGCUGAGCACUGGGGAGCCGGGGAGCAAGCGCCAAGAGGAGCUUUUAAAUUAAAAUUUCCAGAGUAGCCUCAGAGAGGGAGGGAAAUUCCAGUUGAAAAGCCCCUUCUGCCUCAGGACGUUAUUCAGUAAAAUGGACAGAAGCUGCCUCACAAGUGCUUUGAAAGCUUUUCUGGGAUGGCUUAAAAAUACACCUGAGCCUUCUUGUGACUAUGUCCCAGAAGGUCCUGUUGGCCGCCUCACCCUUUUUUCAGGCAGUUAUGAUCUGACUUAAUAUAGGAACUCCCAUUUUUCCAGCACUGUGCACCAAGCACAUUGCCAACCAUUUUACAUGAUUUUAAUCUCAGUCUACAAAAUAGGUAGUAAGCCUGUAGAUCUUUCCAUAGCUGGCACUCACACAGUAAGUGGUUGAUAAGAUGGAAUAAGCAAUCAGGAUUUCUGAUCAGGAUUGCCUUCCCAGAAGGGACAUUUGUGAACUCCAAAUGAAUUCUGCCCUUCCACUGGCCUCUUAUGAAGGACUAAGAACCAAAUGUCCCACUCAAUUUCUCAAUCAGACUUUAAGGCAGUCUUUCUGCCUCACCCAGAGAUCUGGGGAAUUAUGAUAAUUACAAUAGGAAUGUUAGCAUAGCAAUUUGCCCUUUAGGAAUAGGUUGGGCAGCAAAGGGCAGCUAAAGCACCGCUCCAUGUCCUGAAGUCCUUCCAGUAGAUCACAAGCGUACAAUCAAUCUAAGUCAAGAGCCUGUUUUCUCUGCCAGAACAGUUUGAAGACAAGCUUCCAACCAUCCCCCAGACCCCCAAUCUCUUCCUAUAGGGAAAUUCUGGAGCCUCCUCUGCUAAGUGGAAAUUGUUAUCUUCCUUGAACAGGUGGCAGCCAGCUCCGCCAGGCUGUGACUGAUGCAAGGCCACCCAGCUAGUGAGUGGUUUUGUCAGUCUUGAACUCAGAUUAUAUCCCUAAAGUCCUUGUCUCUGAGCAAUCACACACAAUUACCAGAACAUUUACUAACUACCUCAUCUUUCCCUACACUGGUAAUGUCUGUAAAGGCCGCUUACAUACCAAGAAGGAAUAAGAGCUGACAAUAGUGAGCUCUUACUGAAUGUCAGGCAUAGAGAAAAAUGUUGUACAUAUAUAUUUUUAAAGCAAACAUAAAGCACCCUUUCUGCCAGGUCUGGCUUUAAAUGCUUUACAUGUAUUUAUUUAAUCUUCA